rnacentral:rRNA from 1 species
UACGGAGGGAUGCGAGCGUUAUCCGGAUUUAUUGGGUUUAAAGGGUGGCGCAGGCGGAGGCAGCAAGUUCAGCGGUAAAAUCGCGGGGCUCAACCCCGCUCCGCCGUUGAAACUGUGUCCCUUGAGUGCGCGAAGGGUAGGCGGAAUGCGUGGUGUAGCGGUGAAAUGCAUAGAUAUCAACGCAGAACUCGAUCGCGAAGGCCAGCCUACCGGUGCGCGACUGA